rnacentral:rRNA from 1 species
GACGAACGCUGGCGGCGUGCUUAACGCAUGCAAGUCGAACGGUAAGGCUCCAGCUUGCUGGGGUACACGAGUGGCGAACGGGUGAGUAACACGUGGGUGAACUGCCCUGCACUUCGGGAUAAGCCUGGGAAACUGGGUCUAAUACCGGGUAGGACCGCACCGUGAGGGUGGGGCGGAAAGUUAUUGCGGUGUGGGUGGGGCCCGCGGCCUAUCAGCUUGUUGGUGGGGUAAUGGCCUACCAAGGCGGCGACGGGUAGCCGGCCUGAGAGGGUGGACGGCCACAUUGGGACUGAGACACGGCCCAGACUCCUACGGGAGGCAGCAGUGGGGAAUAUUGCACAAUGGGCGGAAGCCUGAUGCAGCGACGCCGCGUGGGGGAUGACGGCCUUCGGGUUGUAAACUCCUUUCACCAUCGACGAAGGGUUUCUGACGGUAGAUGGAGAAGAAGCACCGGCUAACUACGUG